GACCCGUGCGUCCAAACUUUACAUAAACUAC
rnacentral:piRNA from 1 species